GUAUAUGAGUUGUUAUGCAUUUUGUGAUUUAACUUAUAAUAUAUUGACUUUGUGUUUGCAUAAGAAUUUCUUACUGGAAAACUAAUGAGUUAUUUGAUUAUUUAAGAUAUGGGUUUAUUGAUAAUUCUCUCUAGAAGAGAAGCGGGAUUAUUCAAUUUGAUCUUUUCUCUUAAUCAAGAAAUGGUUCCAUUCCUAGACUAUCACAUUACAUUACUUGCAUUUGCAUAUUAUUUAUUUCAUGUAAGUACUUUAGUCUCAUGCCUGACAAUAGUUUGCGGAUUGCAUAUCUCUCUUGAAUUAUUGUAUUUUCACCACUUUAUACUUUUGACUUCCAUUAGUUUGAUCUGAUAUGCAUUAUGUGCAAUAUAUAUAUAUAUAUAUAAUAAGUAAAGGAAGAAGAAAAGAAACAAGAAGAAAAGCGAAAAAAAAUAAAGGGCCGUGUAUAUCAUUUUUAAGUAACAUGGGUUAUUUUGUUUUCAUCUUAGAGAUUACACAUGUGAAAUUAUUGAGAUUUUUAGCAUGAGACAAAAUGACGAACAUGUUAAACUUCUAUGCAGGUACGUGCAGUUACUUUACGGUUGAUGUUCAUAUUUAUAUAUGUGGCUGUGAGAUUUAUCAUGAGAUUGAAUCUGUUGUCAAUUAUAAAAUAGUUAUGUGUGUAUACUAUUCUAUACUUAAUGUUGAAGCAUACUAUGGAAAUAUAGAUACUGUUUGAUGCUCUCUUGGUUAUUUAAAAAUAUUUACUAAUUCUUUUAUGUCAAUGCUCACUAGAACAAACAAAUAAUAUUGAAUUUUUCUUCAAUGUGCAUAUAAUUACUCUUACUUUUGAUAUCUUAUAUAUAAUGAAAUUGAUUUGAGAUUUUCAUGAAAUUAAUUUUCUAAUAAGUGCCAUAAUGUGGGGGUAUGCUUCAUUGCUCGUACCCAUGUUUAUUCUAGUGAAGUUAUGAAUGAUUAAUUAUGCACCUUAUACAACUUAUAUGUGAAAUUAUGACUAAAAUAUUUUUUAGCUUGCAGUUAGUUAUAACUUGUAGAUUUAAGAGCGCUGACGAGCAAAUAUAUGAUCAGAAAACUUAUAUAUGCCUUGUGAAGGCAAUGAUUAAUUAUGCACCUUAAACAACUUAUAUGUGAAAUUAUGACUAAAAUAUUUUUUAGCUUGCAGUUAGUUAUAACAUGCAGGUUUAAGAGCGCUGACGAGCAAAUAUAUGACCAUAAAACUUAUAUAUGCCUUGUGAAGGCAAUCAUAAUUAAUAAAAUGACUUGUUAGUCAUUUAUCUGCAUGCCUCGCGGAUGCUAAAUGCAAAAUUGUCAAGGGGGAUGUACUUAAGCCCAUAAGGGAGUCACCUAAGGAAGAAACCCAACUUAUGUGAUUGGAGAUCCUAUGAAGGAAGUUCAAUGUGGUAGAAACAAUCCAUACUGCGUGACUCAUUAUAGCACUCAUAUUAUAAUGAAGAUAUCCAUGAGAUAUCUUUGCUCAUCCCUAUGACAUUAGUGCAAUUUUAUGUGACAUUAGGAAGGGUAUUAACCUUGAAUGAGUUUCGAGGCGGACGAUCUCCCACAGGGUACAUGUCACAUGUACUCUUGGAGAACUCAUCUAAGUGAGAGUAGUUGUGAGGCCGCAACUGUUAGGAUUGGGCUGUUCUCUAAUAACUCUCAUGAGAAUCAAGAUUAAGCACAUGGCCAUAAAUAGCAUUAACCCGUGCCAAGUUUUUUAUCGAUACCAUGUGUGUUACAUUUAGUAUUCUGGUCAAAAGGAGUCUAGUUCAAGACAUAGUUCACUAUGAUUCAUUCAGAUGAAAGGUGUUAACACUAAGUGUAGGUUCAAGUCCAAAAGACACCUACACCUAUUGCAUGGUAUACAAGUUGCCCAAAUUUCUUCCAUUCAUAUCUAUAUAUUUACUUCUUCUACAUUUCUAUGGAGUUUUGAAUCUUGUGGGGGAUUGUUGGUUACUUAUUUUAUUUUCUUAAAGAUUCAAAACUUUAUUUAUUAUUAUUUUAAAUAAAAAAUAUGAAGAGUCACAUUCAUUAGAGAAGUCAUGUCUUUUAUUAAAGGGUAUGUAGAGUUUAAUAAAUAGCGAACUCCUCAAACGGAACAAAGACAUUAACAUAGAUUAAAAUGUCUUCAUUCUCUCUCUACUACAGUACUCAUAUAUAAUUCUUAUUAUCUUCCUACUCAUCUUGAUCAUCAAUGGGCAAUUGAUCACUACUUGGCAUCUCGUCUACCGUAAUCGUGCUUAUGGAUUAGACACUCUGUGAAAUUCAAGGGUUGUAUCUUGGAGUUGUAUAUAGCCGUUAUAACUGGCACGUAGGGAGGCGUCUAUGGCUUUAGGACAGUGACAACACGCCUCUCUUGAUAUCACAGACCAGAUCAUUCUUUACCUUUUCCUUUUUACUGCUUUAUUUAUUGAUAUAUGUGUUUGAUGCAUUUGGGUAUUAUCUAAUUGAUUGAAUUUACAUGUGUAUUAUGAUCAUAAUCAUUUAUAUUAUCCUACAAGAAAUUGGAGGUUUGGUUUGUUGAUUAAGGGAUGUGUGGCUAUGAUUCUCACGACGGGAGGGGGUAAGGUAGGAGAGAAUGAAGGAAGGUUGGCUGGGAUUGGGGUGGAGGGUGGGGGAAAGAGGUAGGAGAUGAUGAUUUUUUUUUUCUUUUUU
rnacentral:lncRNA from 1 species